UACGGAGGGUGCGAGCGUUAAUCGGAAUUACUGGGCGUAAAGCGCAUGCAGGUGGUUCGUUAAGUCAGAUGUGAAAGCCCGGGGCUCAACCUCGGAAUUGCAUUUGAAACUGGCGGACUAGAGUACAGAAGAGGGUGGUAGAAUUUCAGGUGUAGCGGUGAAAUGCGUAGAGAUCUGAAGGAAUACCGGUGGCGAAGGCGGCCCCCUGGACAGAUACUGACACUCAGAUGCGAAAGCGUGGGGAGCAAACAGG
rnacentral:rRNA from 1 species